AGGAGGCUCCCGUGGCCCGCCUGCCCGGCGCCCCGGCGGCAGUCCUGCCCACCGGCGUGCAGGAGGCAGCAGGGGGAGGGCGGAGGGGCUCACCGGCUCACCGUCAAGCCACAGUGGCGGAUCUGUCCUCAAGCCACAGCCGCGGACGCCGAGGUCGUUGACGCCGGGCAGGGGAGGUCACGGGGCACGUCUCGGCCUUGUUCCCGACGCCGACAACCUCAAUCUCCAACCCUAAGAUUUUGCCUAGCUGGCGCCUGGUAACAUGACACCAACGGUCCUCAUGGAGUAUAGGCCGCAGAUGCAGAUUAAACGGAGCUACGUUGAAAUAGCUUACCGGGGCAUGGGGUAUGCAGAGACUGUAGGUGGGUCGGGCAGCCCUGUUCGUGUUGACUCUGAAGAUUCAUCUGCGCCAAAAUGCAAGUGCAUCAGCCUUAAUAGCGAUGGCUUUGAUGUGAAGCAAGAGAUCUUUGUCCCGUCUAAGUUGUCGUCGUCUGAGCGGCGCUACCUUCGAAAGAGAUUCCGGGCAGAGCUUGGUUCUGUCAUGUAUCUCCUCAAGAGGCCAGAGUUUUUUUCCAUCAUGCCUGUCAGCCGAGCACCAUCCGACGCUUGACUGUAUAUUAUCAUGCUUAUCAAGUUCUUUCCUUAUGUCAAUUUUACAGAUAAAUUCAUUUGUGUCAAGUAUCGCUUUUUUCCAUAUGAACAUGACAAGUUGUCAUAUAUUGGCUUGUCAAAUCUAUCGGGUGCCAAGUUCACUUGAAAUAUUCUUAAUUCUGUUUCUUCUGAUUUUGGUGUUGGUGUAUGUAUUGUUAGUGAAAAUAUGCUCACAGUUUUUUUUUUUGAACUAUGUGUAUACCAUUAACUGAUGUCAUUAUGUUUUCCAGGGGUAUAUGGACCAGAAAUGAUGUGAUAUACUUGGUUAUUUGAACAUGAAGGUCAACCAUGGGGAGGCGCGACAUGGCGUGGCCUCAGCCCAUUAGGUGUCCUCUCUUUUUGCCUAUUGUUUCCUCUGGAACUCUGAUUUUGUUUGGCUUAUGAAGGCACAUUCAUCCUGCAAGUACAAUCAUGAUUAAGAUUUAGAACGCCCUGCACGCCGGUUUACUUUCUUUCGUACAUUGAUUGCUAUUUUUUAUGCCUUAUAUCCUACGCCUCAUCACACAAUAGUUUGGUAAAGAAAGAGUGAACCCACUCAUGAAUUUGCACUAAUUAUAUAUUUAUGUCACUAUUAAUAAUUUGUAUUUACUUUAUCUGCUCUCGUGAGUUCGUCGAGUUCCUUUCUCAAUGUGCUUAGAUGCUUGUGCAACAGCAGAAGUAAUUGUUGAUUGGCUUAGCCUUUGUGUCGGUUUCAUAUGUAUAUAUGUCAUUGGCCUAGCUAACAUCACGUGUCAGUAAUUUGUGCUUUCUUUCUUUGGGAUAAUUAUGCCUAGCUGGAAACAGAGAGGAGUCAGGUAGCCUGCUACUGUUCCUUUUGUUUGCUACUGUUCCUUUUGUUUUCUAAAGUGUCCCUUCAAUUAAUCCAGUAACCUGACAUUACUUUGUGUUUAACUAAUAUCAUUCUUAUCACAGUGAGUAUUAUAUUAUUCAGUUAGCCUCCUUUUCGUCGAAGAGGCGUGAAAGUGUAGAGGGUAGAAAUGGUAAUUGAAUGGGUGUUCUCUUUUUACGCAAGCAUUCUCCUCCUUAUCUUGCUAUUUAUGCAUCUCCGUAUUUCAUUGGUAUUCUUCCGAUUUGCAGUGAUUAUAGGAAGCGCAUACAUGGGUGAGUUGAAAUUGUUCUACUGAUUCCUCGAUGCUCUGUUCAUGGCUUUGUUCUUAUUUUAUCCUUCUUUCUUUUCUUUGUUCUUUCCUACAAGAAGAUGCCGAGUCGUGCAAUAUGUUCAAAGAAGAGAGAAUCUGCAUUUUAUGAAUGUUUUCUUCUUUCUUCAUUGUUACCUCGAGUUAGUGAAUUCAGUUAAGUUGUACUGAGCAGCUAAUGCACAUCUUAUUCAGUCACGAGGCCAUUAAGAUCUUUUUGACUUUUACUAAAAGGGAGAUGCCAUUUAGACCUUGCCCUGUCCAACUUGAUCUUUAACUUGCUACUACUGUUUGUAAGCAUUUUCCCAAGCACUGUUUUAUUUGCUUCAGUGAAUCAGGUCACCUUAUUCAGUGGAUGUUCCAAGUAAAAAAAUUAGAAACUGAGCAAUUAGUUCCACUCUUGAAUUUUGUACAACAGUCCAAAUUAUCCAAUAAAUCAUUUGUUAGCAGGGUCUACUUAUAGAAGUUGAAUCAGUUGUUCCAAAUUACCAGUCGAAUGCUGUACAACACAGUGAACUGUUCCAUUCUUAGACGUUGAGCUGAAAUUUCCUUAAUCUGGUUUCUCAUCGUCGGCUGCCCCUCGAGCUAAAAAUGUUCAACGGGGGAGCCAUGUUCUCCGUGGUGCCAAGGGACGCUUCUUGCCGACAAAACCCUGGCCCGAAAUAUCUACAGUGUUGCCUGAAGCUACAAUUCUGAAGCAGUGCGAAGCUAUUCUGAAGAAGCUGAAAUUUAGUCAUAUUUUUAAUGUUCCAGUAGAUGUGGAAAGGCUGAAUAUUCCAGAUUAUAAUGAAAUUAUCAAGCACCUGAUGGACCUUGGGACCAUCAAGAAGAAGCUAGAUUCUGGUUCCUACCAAAGUUUUGGAUUUCGUCCGAGAAAACCAAAAUUCCAGCGAUUU
rnacentral:rRNA from 1 species